UGUUUGUCAAAGCAUUCUCUUUUUCCUGAGAGGGCGUUUGUGGAGCUGUGAACCUCUUCACAGCCUGGGUUGGAGAAAUCAUCCUAAUUUCAGCUGGAGAAAUGAUCAUCCCACAAAUUCAGCACAUCCGGGAGCUGGUGCACCUCAAUAUUCAGUUCAUACCCAGCAAAAUGCACUAAUUCCAGCCCCUAGAAGACCCAUGGAUGACCCAUUUCAACAAAUGGCUUCUACUCUUUAGCAGUUCAUGCAAAGUCAAACCACCAUAAAUAACCAAACUUCUCAAGCCAUCAAUGACAUAAGGAAUAAUUUGACCAAGCUGAACACAACCUUGAGUGCGCAAGAGAAAGGAAAAUUCCCGUCUCAACCCCAACCAAAUCCUCAAGUCCAAAUUGCUGCCAUAGAGUCUUCAUCUUCUUCAGAAGCAAAUGUCAGGACUUGCAAGGCCGUAAUAACUCUCCGUAGUGGCAAAGAAGUUAAAACAUUGGGUAAUGAAGCUGGCAAGAAAGGUGAAA